ensembl:lncRNA
CGCGCGCCAGGAGGCGGCUGUCCCCGGGGAGGGCCCAGCGCUCCGUCCCGCUCCUUUCCGGCCACCCCGCCCGAUUUUCCCUGCGAGGAGUCAGCAGCUUCUGGGUGGUUCCCCCUCGAAAGGCUCAGUGUGUGCGCGCGUGUGUGCGUAUGUGUGUGUGUGGGGGGGUCCUUUGCCCAAACCAAAUCCUCUGGUCUGCUCUUCCCAGCCUGGGAUUAGAAUCUGAGCCUCCCAAUUUGGCCAGGUUUGGGCGGACGUGCAGGGCUUCCGCUGCUCCCUGCCGCUCCCUGGGGACUGCCCGGGUGGCCAGGAUACCUAGUGUCAGCGGGUGCCAAGGAAACCGCCCGGAUCACGAGGGAACCUUGUGUCUGGAUGAGGAGGUGGUGAACAGCCUCUGGGGUGGAAGUGGUCCGGCCUGGGCAGGUCUCUAUCGCCCUCUGCUGGGAAAAUAAGAAAAUUGCUUUAAAUUCCCGCCAGCCUCUCCCAGAGAUUUGGGGAGGGAUGGCAAGUGGAGUGAGGCCGGGGCGGAAAUGUUAGGGAUAACUGUCCUCAUAAAACAGAUAGGGAAACUGAGGCUCGGAGAGGACAAAGAAUUUGUCCGUACUCCCACAGCUACUCUCGGGCGAGAAUUUGCAUUGACGACCCUCAUCGGGCAGCAGUUUUGGAAGUGAGCAGCCCAGUAGUUGACUGCUUCCCCCUGAGGGGUCCCUUUACCCGCUGCCUCCUCCGUCAGGCGUCGAUCACUGCAUCCCUUCGGCGGUGCCAAGUGUGAUUGGGGACCUUGUUUCAGCGGCUCUGAGAAGUCGAAACUAUUUUCAAACAAUAUUAGGCUAUUUGGUUUUUUCAUUCUUUCUCCUCCAAGCAUGUACAGGAGAAUUUUUUAAAGACCACAUGUCAUAUGUUGCUGCAAUAGGCUGAAUGCAGAGGGUCUUACAAAGUUUCUCAGACUGGCCUAGAACUUAUAGAUCCUCCUACCUCAGCCUUCUGAGCAGCUUCGAUUAAAGGAACCACAGCUUUAGACUUUGAUCUGACCUGGAGAUGGACUUACUUGGGACCUUUCAGGUGAAAUUACAUUAGGUGGCUGUUCAGUGUCAGCCAUUAGAGACCACGUACACAAUUAGGACCAGCUUCUCUCUGCUUGGGGCUAAGACUGCUAGAAGAAAUUGAGGGUCAGCCAAUUUGCACAUUGGGAGAGCGAAGGGAAGAAAGAAGAUUGACGUUGUGAAACCUCUGCCAGUUGAGUUCUACUGCCAAAGGAGGGAUUACAAACUCAAAUGCCUGCAGAGGUCAGGCAGGACACACAAACCAGAGAGCCUGGUGGAUUCCGGUGAAGAGACGCCCUCUUGCCCAAUGGAAAGGGGCAGCCAUUAGUCAGCUUUAACUCGUUGCUGCCAUAUUUGGCUGAGGAGGACCUCAUGGUGUCCAAUUUUCUCUCUUCCUUCUCUUCUCUUUCUCUUUUCCUCCUCUCCCC